rnacentral:rRNA from 1 species
UACGGAGGGUGCGAGCGUUGUCCGGAAUCACUGGGCGUAAAGGCGCGUAGGCGGCCUGAUAAGUCGAACGUGAAAUCCCUGGGCUCAACCCAGGAACUGCGUCCAAGACUGGGAGGCUUGAAUCCGGGAGAGGGAUGCGGAAUUCCAGGUGUAGCGGUGAAAUGCGUAGAUAUCUGGAGGAACACCGGUGGCGAAGGCGGCAUCCUGGACCGGUAGUUGACACUGAGGCGCGAAAGCCAGGGGAGCAAACGGG